UACGUAGGUGGCAAGCGUUAUCCGGAUUUACUGGGUGUAAAGGGCGUGUAGGCGGGACUGCAGGUCAGAUGUGAAAAUUAUGGGCUCAACCCAUAACCUGCAUUUGAAACUGUAGUUCUUAAGUGAUGGAGAGGCAGGCGGAAUUCCGUGUGUAGCGGUGAAAUGCGUAGAUAUACGGAGGAACACCAGUGGCGAAGGCGGCCUGCUGGACAUUAACUGACGCUGAGGCGCGAAAGCGUGGGGAGCAAACAGG
rnacentral:rRNA from 1 species